CGAGUCUAAUUGAGGUAUGAUUUUAAAUUUCGAGGACGAAACUUCUUUUAAGGAGGGGAGGAUGUAGUGUACCAGAUUUUUUUUUUUUUAUAUAGAAGCAAGUGUAAAUAAAAAUAGUGUAAAAUACUAUUAUAUUGGACUUAAAGAAGUAAAAUAUAAGUCGAAAACGACUUGUGCUGAAAUCGGAACGAAAACAGAAGAUUUAGAAUUUUCUGUGAGAAACGGGGCUAAUAUUUUAGCAGAAAAUGCACAGUGUCAGAAAAUUAUGAAAACUUGAAAAUAUGUCGGGAUUAUUUUUAUGAGGCUAGAUUUAAAGUUUCAUGUCAAUCCGACUCCCGGAUCCGACACUCAGAAGGUGGAAAAUAAAAUUCGACUUCUAUUUGCUAGAGAUUACAGUUCGGUAGAGCUUUCGGUGACCAAAUAUGGUCCAAACUGAAAAGUUAAGAUAUAUUCCAUUUAUUUAGCAAAAAUCGAGCCUGAUUGUCAAAUUUGAGCGGAAACGGACAUUCAGAAGAGCCGGCGAAAGGUAUCUGUACCUGAGCUGCUAAACCGAAAAUAAUAAUAGUGUUANUUAUAUAUAUAUAUAUAUAUAUAUAUAUAUAUAUAUAUAUAUAUGAGGGACUUCUUCUCUCAUUCUCCACCACUUAAACCAAAAGAGAAACCUUCUCUUUCUCGCUCUAGACCUCUCUCUCUCCGAGAGUUUUGCUCCAAUAGUGGAGAUUUGGUAGAAGAAGCUUACUUAGAGGUGAAGCUUUCUUCUUCUUCACCAUUGGCUUGAAGAGAGCUUGGGUUUGAGGUGAGCUUUAUGGGAUUUCAUGGUUUUAGGUUAGGGGUUUUGUGUAAAUUUCUUAUAAAUGAGUUUAAUUAGAAUCCUAGUUGAUUCUAAACCAUGUUAUUGCGUAAUCUACCAUGAGAUUUGGAUAUUAUGCAAUAUAAGGGUUUUUAGAGUUUCAAAAGAGGGCUUUUGAUCAUGAGAGGUUUUGAUCUCAAUUGAUCAUAUGUUUCCGCAAUUGAAUGUAAAACCGACGCGGAGGAUCACUCAGAUUGAGAUUCUGUUGAGCCGAUGGUGGUCAAAGUGAAGAAAAUCUUAUUUUUGCUUCGUUUUUCGUAGUCGGAAGAAAUCGACGGCCAUAAAUCACACUGCUAGGCUACCCGCUUCGUGUCGACGCCACGAGGUGGGGGGUGCUAUCCGAAAUAACCGAGUUUCAUUCUAUGUCUAAGUUCUACUAUUAUUGACCAUAUAUCAUCAUGUAUAGAAUUGUGAGAAUCCUAUGAGUUGUGGUAAUUUCAUGCUUAGUGUGAGGGAUGAUGAUGAUCCAUGAUUGCAUGAUACUUGUAGGAAUAUCUUUUUGCAUGACGUUGAGAUAGAUGUGGACAUGUAUGUUGCAUGAGAACUUUUAUAUGAUGCCAAUAUAAAUGUACUUAUGCAUAUUGCAUUGAGUUGCUAGUGGACAUAUGCAUGAAGAUAUGAUGUGAAAAUAGACUAGAUUCAUGAGGAACUAGUAUGUGAACCAAUGACAUUGUAAAAUUAGAAACCAUUGCAUAUGUGGCCGACUUGAACAUAGCAUGCCUUGUGAUUGUUUGGGGUGUGGGAUACCCGAUGUCCUCGGGCGGGAGGACUAGAUCAUACUCGAUUCGUCUGUUGUAUUUGAAGAGGUCGCGCCUCCCAUUUCUGUGAGCUCCGGAGUUGUAUCACAAUGAGAUUGAGACGGGGGAGGUGGUCACUACGGUGUGCCCCCGGCAGACGGUCACGGUGGCGUGACGGUGUGGACCGAGUCAUGGUUUGACCUUUCGGCGAAUCGAUUGGAUUGAAUCAAGGCAUGUUCAUGGCAUUACAUAGAGUGCAUACAUGGUAGAACUUAAACUUAUUCUUGUUGACAUGAUUAGUAAAGGUAUAGCUACACAUUUGAAGCAUGAUGUAGAUGUAUAUGAGCAGGUCAGGCUUAUUGUUUAUCUAUUAUCUCUUUGACAUAUUGUCCUAUUUAUUAUUUCUAUGCCUUUCUUAGACCUAGUGGGAAAAUCGGCGGGGUCGGCGGCCGAACCCACUGGGAACUAUGNUAUUUCUAUGCCUUUCUUAGACCUAGUGGGAAAAUCGGCGGGGUCGGCGGCCGAACCCACUGGGAACUAUGGAUAAUAGUUCUCACACCCUGUUUUGCAGAGCCUAGUACGAGCGCGUGCAUCGAGGUUGCGGCAAGGGCAUCGCGCCCUAGACAGAGUGGACCACCGGCGUUAGCUCACUACCCUCGAGUAUAAAAAGAAGGAAAGAAUGAUAUGUAAAACCCUUUUGUGAAGAAAUGUGAUGUAUACGAGAGAUGGCAUUUUGGUUGUAUGUAUGAGAACUAAAGUGAAAUAUGUAAUGGUUCAUGUAUGUGAACAAGUGAUGUAAUAGAUAGUUUAAAUUCUCUUGUACUGUGAUUGUGUAACAUACCAGAUUUUGGUAUAAAAAUAAAAAUAAAUAAAAAUAGUGUAAGAAGCUAUUUUUAUUGAAUUUAGAGAAGUAAAACAAAAGUCAGAAAUGACUUGUGCUGAAAUCGGAAUGAAAACAUAAGAUUUAGAAUUUUCUGUUGGAAACGGGACAGAUAAAUUAGCAGAAAAUGCAUAGUCUCAGAAAAUUAUGAAAAUUGGAGGAUAAGUCAGAAAUAUUUUUAUGAGGCGAGAUUUAAGGUUUCAUAUUUUUCUGACACCCGUAGAGUGAGAAAUAAAAUCCGACAGUUAUCUGAUAAAGAUUACAGUUCGGUACAGUUUUCAGUGACCAAAUGGGGUCGAAACUGAAAACUUAAGAUAUAUUCUUACUCAGUACGUUAAAUCGAGCCUGC
rnacentral:lncRNA from 1 species